UUAGCUAGUUACUGUCUAGCUAGGACUUCAUCUGUGUCUGGUGUUAGCUAGUUACUGGCUGCCUGGGUCUUCAUCUGUGUCUGGUGUUAGCUAGUUACUGUCUAGCUAGGUCUUCAUCUGUGUCUGGUGUUAGCUAGUUACUGUCUAGCUAGGACUUCAUCUGUGUCUGGUGUUAGCUAGUUACUGUCUAGCUAGGACUUCAUCUGUGUCUGGUGUUAGCUAGUUACUGGCUGCCUGGGUCUUCAUCUGUGUCUGGUGUUAGCUAGUUACUGUCUAGCUAGGUCUUCAUCUGUGUCUGGUGUUAGCUAGUUACUGUCUAGCUAGGUCUUCAUCUGUGUCUGGUGUUAGCUAGUUACUGUCUAGCUAGGACUUCAUCUGUGUCUGGUGUUAGCUAGUUACUGGCUGCCUGGGUCUUCAUCUGUGUCUGGUGUUAGCUAGUUACUGUCUAGCUAGGUCUUCAUCUGUGUCUGGUGUUAGCUAGUUACUGUCUAGCUAGGACUUCAUCUGUGUCUGGUGUUAGCUAGUUACUGGCUGCCUGGGUCUUCAUCUGUGUCUGGUGUUAGCUAGUUACUGUCUAGCUAGGUCUUCAUCUGUGUCUGGUGUUAGCUAGUUACUGUCUAGCUAGGUCUUCAUCUGUGUCUGGUGUUAGCUAGUUACUGUCUAGCUAGGACUUCAUCUGUGCCUGGUGUUAGCUAGUUACUGUCUAGCUAGGUAUUUAUCUGUGUCUGGUGUUAGCUAGUUACUGGCUAGCUAGGACUUCAUCUGUGCCUGGUGUUAGCUAGUUACUGUCUAGCUAGGUCUUCAUCUGUGUCUGGUGUUAGCUAGUUACUGUCUAGCUAGGUCUUCAUCUGUGUCUGGUGUUAGCUAGUUACUGUCUAGCUAGGUCUUCAUCUGUGUCUGGUGUUAGCUAGUUACUGUCUAGCUAGGUCUUCAUCUGUGUCUGGUGUUAGCUAGUUACUGUCUAGCUAGGACUUCAUCUGUGUCUGGUGUUAGCUAGUUACUGACUAGCUAGGUCUUCAUCUGUGUCUGGUGUUAGCUAGUUACUGUCUAGCUAGGUCUUCAUCUGUGUCUGGUGUAAGCUAGUUACUGACUAGCUAGGUCUUCAGCCAGCAUGGAACAACACAUCAAUCAGCACUGCUGUGAACAGCAUCACAAGAGACAUGCCAAACAGGAAAUGUAUAAGUAAAAUUGACAUUGAUCAAAUAUUAUGAAUUAAUAUAAGCUCCCCACCCACUCAGCCUGUCUUUUAAAACUUCCUGAUAGUUACUCAGAUUUUGAAAAUUUCUAUCCAAAACAAAUAUUAUGGGUGAUAUUAUUAUGGGCAAUUUUACAUGGAAAUCAGAAUGACUGUCCGAGACCUUUAAAAUGUCAAGCACCCUUCCACGGUCCGGAUUGAAUCUAGUCCAUAACAUUUUAUUUAUUUAACCUUUAUUUAACUAGGCAAGCCAGUUAAGAACAAAUUCUUAUUUACAAUGACGGCCUACUCCGGCCAAACCCGGACGACGCUGGCCCAAUUGUGUGCCGCCCUAUGGGACACCCAAUCACGGCCGGUUGUGAUACAGCCUGGAAUCUAACCAGGGACUGUAGUGAUGCCUCUAGAUGCACUGAGAUGCAAUGCCUUAGACCACUGCGCCAAUGCCUAAUACCUGCUUAGGAGAUUAGUAUGAUUUACCAGCUUUGUGCUUAAGCAUGUGCUAAGUAGGCCUAUAGAGCAUAGCUACAGUAGAGAAUAAAAAGUAAGCCUAUACACAGUCUCUGAAUUAUGCUGAUUAAAAGGGGAAAUCCAAGGCACCAGAUGAGGCUGCUGAGGGGAGAACGGCUCAUAAUAAUGUCAGGAGCGGAGCCAAUGGACUGGCAUCAAAUACCUGAAAACAAUGUGUUUGAUGUAUCUGAUACCAUUCCACCUAUUCCGCUCCAGUCAUUACCAUGAGCCCGUCCUCCCCAAUUAAGGUGCUACCAACCUCCUGUGGCUUGUACUAACGUUAGAACCUUAGAUAUAAUCAAUAAUAGAAAAUACACUACAUCUUUAUUAGUAGUCUUUCAUGUGGUCAAUACCUGAUUAAAUACCUGCCAGGUUAAUAGAUGUAAAUAAAUGAGGAGCCUUGUGCUUACUCAUGUGAGCACAGUUGCUACAGCACAGGCAGAUAUAAUAUAUAGCAGAGAAAGUCUAUAUUCAGACUGAUCUGUGAA